CCUACGGGUGGCAGCAGUGGGGAAUAUUGCACAAUGGGGGAAACCCUGAUGCAGCGACGCCGCGUGAGUGAGGAAGUAUUUCGGUAUGUAAAGCUCUAUCAGCAGGGAAGAAAAUGACGGUACCUGACUAAGAAGCCGCGGCUAACGACGUGCCAGCAGCCGCGGUAAUACGUAGGGGGCAAGCGUUAUCCGGAUUUACGGGGGGUAAAGGGAGCGUAGACGGUUCAUCAGGUCAGAAGAGAAAACCCAGGGCUCCACCGUGGGACUGCUUUUGAUACUGAGUAGCUAGAGUGCAGGAGCGGUCAUCGGCAUUCCUCUUGUAGCGGUGAUAUGCUUCGAUAUUUGGUG
rnacentral:rRNA from 1 species